AAUGAACGUUGGCGGCGUGGAUUAGGCAUGCAAGUCGAGCGAGAAGUUUACUUCGGUAAAUGGACAGCGGCGAAAGGGACAGUAAUGUGUAGGUGCCUACCCCCCGAUCUGGGAUAGCUGCGGGAAACUGCAGGUAAUACCGGAUAAUGUCUUCGGACCAAAGGUGUGAUUCCGUCAGGGGAGGGGCCUGCAUCCUAUUAGCUUGUUGGUGAGGUAAUGGCUCACCAAGGCAACGAUGGGUAGCGGGUGUGAGAGCAUGACCCGCGUCAUUGGGACUGAGACACUGCCCAGACAUCUACGGAUGGCUGCAGUCGAGAAUCUUCGGCAAUGGGCGAAAGCCUGACCGAGCGACGCCGCGUGCGGGAUGAAGGCCCUCGGGUUGUAAACCGCUGUCGUUGGGGAGGAAAUGCAAAAGGGUUAUCCCUUCUGUUUGACCGAUCCAAGGAGGAAGUACGGGCUAAGUUCGUGCCAGCAGCCGCGGUAAGACGAACCGUACGAACGUUAUUCGGAAUUACUGGGCUUAAAGGGUGCGUAGGCUGCACGGAAAGUUGGGUGUGAAAGCCCUCAGCUCAACUGAGGAAUUGCAUCCAAAACUGCCGUGCUUGAGGGAGACAGAGGUGAGCGGAACUCAAGGUGGAGCGGUGAAAUGCGUUGAUAUCUUGAGGAACACCGGUGGCGAAAGCGGCUCACUGGGUCUCUUCUGACGCUGAGGCACGAAAGCUAAGGUAGCAAACGGG
rnacentral:rRNA from 1 species